AGCAGAGGUUUGCCAUCCUCGCCUGAGUUAAACAUGUAACACUUCCCAUAUUUUGUAAACACCUGAAGGAGAGAAGAGAGAGAGAGAGAGAAGCACAUGGGUAACUUCAGACGGGGGUCCAGAGAUUGGCGAGACCCCAGAAAUCUGACAGCAGGACCCAAGCGUUUUUUGACUGCAUCACUCUGGUUUCCUAGCUGGACUUCAGGAUUCCAGAUGACCUUCUCCAGCCCAUCCUCUAAGAUGAGGAACCAAAGUUCAAGGAGGUUCAACGUCUUACAGAUUUGGUGGUGCACUUGCUCUUCCCACUGCCCAGUGAAGCGCU